UGUGCUCACACACAGAGCUUCCAGUGCCACC
rnacentral:piRNA from 1 species